ACGAACGCUGGCGGCGUGCUUCACACAUGCAAGUCGAACGGAAAGGCCCCUUUGGGGGUACUCGAGUGGCGAACGGGUGAGUAACACGUGAGUAACCUGCCCUUGACUUCGGGAUAACUUCAGGAAACUGGGGCUAAUACCGGAUAGGAAUCCUUGCUGCAUGGUGGGGGUUGGAAAGCUUCGGCGGUUUUGGAUGGACUCGCGGCUUAUCAGCUUGUUGGUGGGGUAGUGGCUUACCAAGGCUUUGACGGGUAGCCGGCCUGAGAGGGCGACCGGCCACAUUGGGACUGAGAUACGGCCCAGACUCCUACGGGAGGCAGCAGUGGGGAAUAUUGCACAAUGGGCGGAAGCCUGAUGCAGCAACGCCGCGUGCGGGAUGACGGCCUUCGGGUUGUAAACCGCUUUCAGCAGGGGCGAAGCUUGUGGUGACGGUACCUGCAGAAGAAGCACCGGCUAACUACGU
rnacentral:rRNA from 1 species